AGAAUGGUUUCAAGAGUGGUCUCAGAUCCCGGGUCUGUGACAGACUAUGCAGAAAGUAUCAUCCCUGCUGGGGGCUUUCAUGUGUCCUCUGUAAGGCCCCACUCACACACCCUCUCUAGCUCUACAAUGCUAGUGAGGAGGGCUUGAAGACUUGAAGGGCUUGAGUCCAUGUGAAGCAUCACCCAGCCUAGCCCACCACCCUAGGGGAACAAUGACAAUGUGACCACAGAAAAUGCUUGUCCUCUGGCUAGUCUCUGCCACUGACCCUUAGUGUCAAUGGAGGGACACAAAAAGGUCUACUCUGCUCCAUGGGGGCUUCUCUCUCUCUCUCUCUCUCUCUCUCUCUCUCUCUCUGUGUGUGUGUGUGUGUGUGUGUGUGUGUGUGUGUGUACAUAUACACAUAUAUGCCUAGAUGGAUGUAUGUGUGCUAUCCUGGUGCCUAAGCAGGCCAGAAGAGGGAAUUAAAUUCCCUGGAACUAGAGUUACAAGAACUUGAGUCACAUUAUGGAUACUGAGAAAUGAACCCUGGUCCUCUGCAAGAGGUCCACCACUCCCAGCUCCUCAACUGCAGUCUUCAACAAAACUCAUAAGAAACAUAUAAUCUCAGUAGCAUCCACGGCUCAGGGAAGUAAGAACUCUUAUUAUCUUUAUGUUACUGAUAAGGACUUGAUGCCCAGAGAGGGUAAGCCAUUUAACCAAAGCCACACAGUAAGUGACUGAGCUAGUUUCUGAAUCCCAAGCUCUGGGACAACAAAGUCACACCCCUCCCCUGACACAGCCCCCAGGACAACUGUGAAUAAUAACAGGAUCUGGUAGUACUGUCUAGUCUCUGAUCUAUGUCCCUCUGUCUAUUAACUCAUGUAAGACUCACUGUAACCCUAGGAGAUAGCAUUAUUAUCUUCCUUGUAUAGAAGAAAACUCACCCAAAGCUACAAAGUUGCUAAGGGGCAGAGCUGGAACAUGCAGCUGGCCAUCUGCCUUGGGAACUUUUAUCCAUUUCCCUGGCUAUAGUUUAGGCCAUUUUGGGUCAAGGCCUGUUACCCCAGUGACAGCUUAAAGGAGACAUUCUCAGAGCUGACUGUUUACAGGCAGCAGGGAAGCCACCCCAAGGUCCUCAUAGGCUGAAUCCAGCAUGUCUUCCUCCUCUAGGAGUGUAGAUCUACUGAGCCCACCUUUUUUUUAAAGGCUUUAAAAAAAUGCCUGGCCAAGCAGAAACAAACUGGACCUGACAGAGGCAAGGUGGAGGAGUGCAAAGAAUGACCUUCCAGUCUUCAGAAAACCUGAGUUGCCUUUGGAAACACACUUCGUGACGUUGGGCAACUGACAAAGUUCUCUUGGUGUCAGCGUCCCACGGCUAAAGACUGUUGAGAGAAGUAAAUGAAAUGGCUAUAUAGAAAAGUGAAUUAUAUACUCUAAAGUGCUCUUCAAGGCUCGUUUUAAUUGUUCCUUGUUCUAUAGGGCUAAGUUCUUCUGCCCAGCCUGGGCAGAAGCGGUGUCUAGGAAAAGGCUUUAGAAAUGCUAAUGCCAUGUUUGAGUGACAGGCCUGGACAAUGGAGGAGGGCUCUGUGAAUGGGGCAGCCCAGGCCUGGGAGCUGGGCUCCCCACGUGGGAGCUGAAUGGGGGAGGGUGCGGGCUGGAAGACACACCAGAUCUGGCGGACUGGAAGGGUUUGGAGCUGUCAGCAAUGGGGAAAGGCAAGAGGGCUACCUGCUUGCCAGGGGUUGGGGUGGGGUUCCCCAGAGAGAGAGGGAUGUUAGAUGAAGGAGCCCUGGGCUUGGAGGCAGAGGGUACAGACUAGCUGACCUGGAGCUUCAGAGGAAAGCAGUGGGAGAGCUGUGACAGAAGCCCUGGGAACCUGGCUGACUUGGGAGUGGGAAAAGACCAGAAGUUCUGAGAUGGGUAACUCUGGGCCCGAGACUCUGCUUGUGGAGGUAGGAAAGGCAACAUAGUGGCUGGGUUCUAGACACAGCUGGUUUCUAGACGCAGCUGGGUCCAGAAGAGUGAGCUGACCUGGGAAUCAGCCACCCAAGGCCAGGACGCAAUGUAGGCAAGUGUGCAUGUGUGCUUGUGUGUGGGAGGGGGCAAGAAAGGGGGUGGCUUCGGCUCUGUCUUCUUCCCUCCUAUUCAGCCCAUCUCUUCCCUGGGCUUUCUCCCUUGAUUUCCCCUCCCCCUUCACCAUGAAGGCUGUUUUUGUUCCUCCUCAGGGCCUAGCCCCCCGAGGUGUGCAAACAGGAAGGACCUCUCCCCGGGCAGUGAGUAAGGAGGGAAAAAUGAGGUGUUGAAAAGAUGACAAGUCGCCCUGUCAGAGCUCACCUUGGCAGGGAGCAGGCGGCAGAGGCCGGCGGGUGGUGGGGGGAGGUCUGCCCUGGAAGACAGCCUACAUGUGCCCAGAGCCAGGCGAGCGGAUCUGCAACAAGCAGGCACUGUGUAUUCGUUUGUUUGGUUUAGAAGAGUCCACCCCUCCUCUUCCCACCAUCAAAGAUCCCUUCCCUUCCUUCCCAGUGGGAAGAGUAAGGCCAAGGGGCCAGAGGCUUCGUGUGAGAUGGAAGGGGAGGGGACAGAUGGGAAGGGGCUGGGCAGGAGGCCCACCUCCCUCCUCUAAACCUGCUAUCCCACAGCCUCCUGGCUUAUCCUGCAUCAAAGACUCCACAAACUCAUCAUGAACUGACUUCAUCAAGGCCUCUCUCCACAGCCCUGCAUGCUGUCCCUCCUGUGGGCUUCCCGUUUGGACUGCAGUGUGGACGGACAGCUUUGAACUCAUGGACAUUCUUUUGCCUCCUAUCGCUUCUCAAAUCCUGGAACCCUCGGCAUGUGCUACAGCAUGCAGCUAGCUCAGUGAUUCUGCAGCCAGCCAGCCUGCCAGGACUUGGAUUCCCAUUCUACUCCUCUCAUCUGCAUCCCUGGGGCCUUGGGCUGUUAUGCACUUACUCUUCGUCGGCCUCAGUUCUCUCCAGUGGAGAGUGGGAACACGUGAGCUACAAACUCACCAUUGAGGAUGUUGAUAUUUAAAGUGAGAGGUGCCCGGUGUUCUAUUAGUAUUGUUAUUUAGAAUACGGAGUGUGACAGGGCAGGACAAUAAGCUGCCUUUCUUGAUACCCAGAGACAAGCCUGCCUGGGAGACAGAGGCUUGCAGCUGGAGACUGGCUGCCCGCUGUUUACAAUCAUCUUGUCAUAAAGCUAGCAGGAGCGGUCAUGAUUAAAGGUGCAUUGUCCGAG